rnacentral:rRNA from 1 species
CCGGUAAACGGCGGCCGUAACUAUAACGGUCCUAAGGUAGCGAAAUUCCUUGUCGGGUAAGUUCCGACCUGCACGAAUGGCGUAAUGAUGGCCAGGCUGUCUCCACCCGAGACUCAGUGAAAUUGAACUCGCUGUGAAGAUGCAGUGUACCCGCGGCAAGACGGAAAGACCCCGUGAACCUUUACUAUAGCUUGACACUGAACAUUGAGCCUUGAUGUGUAGGAUAGGUGGGAGGCUUUGAAGUGUGGACGCCAGUCUGCAUGGAGCCGACCUUGAAAUACCACCCUUUAAUGUUUGAUGUUCUAACGUUGACCCGUAAUCCGGGUUGCGGACAGUGUCUGGUGGGUAGUUUGACUGGGGCGGUCUCCUCCUAAAGAGUAACGGAGGAGCACGAAGGUUGGCUAAUCCUGGUCGGACAUCAGGAGGUUAGUGCAAUGGCAUAAGCCAGCUUGACUGCGAGCGUGACGGCGCGAGCAGGUGCGAAAGCAGGUCAUAGUGAUCC